ACUCCUACGGGAGGCAGCAGUGGGGAAUUUUGGACAAUGGGCGAAAGCCUGAUCCAGCCAUGCCGCGUGCAGGAUGAAGGCCUUCGGGUUGUAAACUGCUUUUGUACGGAACGAAACGGCCUUUUCUAAUAAAGAGGGCUAAUGACGGUACCGUAAGAAUAAGCACCGGCUAACUACGUGCCAGCAGCCGCGGUAAUACGUAGGGUGCAAGCGUUAAUCGGAAUUACUGGGCGUAAAGCGUGCGCAGGCGGUUAUGUAAGACAGUUGUGAAAUCCCCGGGCUCAACCUGGGAACUGCAUCUGUGACUGCAUAGCUAGAGUACGGUAGAGGGGGAUGGAAUUCCGCGUGUAGCAGUGAAAUGCGUAGAUAUGCGGAGGAACACCGAUGGCGAAGGCAAUCCCCUGGACCUGUACCGACGCUCAUGCACGAAAGCGUGUGGAGCAAACAGGAUUAGAAACCCCAGUAGUCCCAU
rnacentral:rRNA from 1 species